rnacentral:lncRNA from 1 species
CAGGGACUCCGGUACCCUUGCGGGCUAUCCAGGUUGCCGUAAAGCCCGCAACACCCUAAUUGAACCGUUUGGAAUUAUUAAGGUGGGAUGUGCAGUAACUUGAGCUGUUGUUUGUAAUUUUGAGUCAUAUGAUCAAGGACUCUCAACAUCACUUUAUCAUUGGAGAAACAGUGUCACGACGAUUUAAAUCCAAAUUCCUGGUGCCUCCAUAUCCUAUCUCGAUGAACCCCACAUACUACCAUCCUUGCCAUUCUUGCCCUCCUCCAUAUUCUCUCUAAAGUUUUAAGUUGAUGAACUAGAAGAUGGAGAACCCCUUUUA